rnacentral:lncRNA from 1 species
AUUCCAAGCUGCUUAGAGCAAAUAACAACAGCUUGGAUGUGAGAUUCUUGUAAAGGAGUGAAGAUAAACUCAGGUUUCGGUACUGAAGGCAAGGUGAACCGGAGGUUUUGAGCAGAAGAUUGUAAGACACUAGUGAAAGAAGAGUUUUGUGGAGCAUACAAGACAGUGGAAAAAGGAAAGGAGUAGGACCACAACCACAAGUAUUGAAAGUAUGGAAGAUCUUGAAGGCACCAUUUUUCCUGCUUUCUUGCCUCUCUGGCUUGCCUUUAAGAAUUGAUGUCUCAAGGAGUUCUUUUAUAGAGGAGCUAUGAACAAUCAACAGGAAAUUAAAUUAUUUUCUAGCUGGUUUUGUGCAGUGAGAUAUUUACUUGUGAUAUUACAAUGGGGAUUAUAUAAAUUUGAACGAUUCAUAUUCCAUGCAAUAUAGUCAAACUUUUAGACUUUAAAUGUUUAAUUAAUUAAACACAUCUUCCAAUCAUAUUAUACAUAUCAUUAUAGCUAAAGUGAAUAAAUAAAAAAAUUGAGGAUUGAUUUGGAAAUUAACAUAUUUUGGCGCUAUUUUUUUUUAUAUGAAACGGCGCGUUUUGUUCAAAACGACACACUUUCAUAUACUGUUAAAAAAAAAACCAAAACGGUGUCAUUUUGAACGACACUGUAUAUCUUCUUCUUCCCUGACAUUCAAAGGCAGGGAAAGAAGGUUUUUCUUCCCCUCCUUUGCAGCACCCAUAUUCCCUCUUUCUACCCUGACACAACUCACGCCCCUCACUUGCCACCAUGAUGAAGAUUAGACAGGGAAGUCAUACUCUCCGGCUGAAGCGACUGCACAAAGGCCACCCCAUGCAGCCACUCUACCUUGUCUCCAUGAUUGGACAAAGGUAGGGUAGCUCUUGCUUCCCCUAUCAUAUAAAUACACCACUCAACAAGCCGAGAGCAGGGGAAAAAGAAAAAACAGGGGAAACAGAAAGAGAGACGAAAGAGAGAGAGACUCAAACAGAGAGAAGGAGGGAAGAAAAAGAACAAAACAAACCAAAGAUAAAAAAUAGAGAAACAGAGACAGCGAGGAGAGAAACAGAGGGAUUGGGAAGGAACAAGAAGCAAAGGAAAAGGAAAUACAGAAAAAGGGUGAAGAAAUAAAAGAAAAAAAACCGAGGGAAGAAGAAACACACAGAAACAAAAGGAAAAGAAGAAGAAGAAGAAGAAUCAUUUGGAAAAGCCAUCCACCGCGACAUCACCGCCAUCGAGAGCCACCAGCACCGUCAAUGCCGUCAGCAAGUCAAGCCCCCCUCUUCUCCUUCUUCUUCUGCUCAUUUUCCCGUCUCUACUGCCCUGUAGAGCAAACAAUGAAGAGCUGCUCCACUGUUAACUGGGUCGGACAAUGCCAGUCCAGACCAAAAUGGAUGAGUCGGGUCCGGCCCAAUCUGAAAGGAAAAAAAACAUAUGGUGGGCCAAAUUAACCCAACCCCAAUACCUUGGGCCGAACUCAGCCUAAUUUAUUCUAGGCCGAUUUCGGCCCAUUUGGGAUGGGCUCAGCCCAAUGUAAUUGGACCCAGCCAAUCCCAAUAUAUUGAUAUAAUAAUGUUAUAUAAUAUAAUAUAAUAUAUUAAAAAAAAUUUAAAAAAAAUUUCCAAAUCCUUUGAAAAACUUCUAUGGGAUUUUCCCACAAGUUUUUUUUUUUUAUCAUUUUAGGUUAAUACCGAUUUGUAUUUUAUACUGUAAAGAUAUAGAUCUGAUAUUAAAAUACCUGGUUUUCUUUGAAAUGUUGCAAAAAAAUUAUAUAAAAAACAAAAUUUUUUUUUCAUGCAUACGGCCAAGUCUCUCAAAAAAUAAAAAAAAAUCAUAUUGGAUUUUCAUACAACAAAAACAAUUACAGAAAAUAUUUAGCAUGUAUUUUGGCUUUAAUAACUAGUUUAUUAAAGCCUUGAGAACUAAGCCAAUAUUUUAAAAAUACCCAAAAAAUAUUUUUGUUUUUUUAGUAACUGAGAUUAUGAAUUUAUAUGUAAAGCGUAUUCGCGAUGUUAAAAUGUAUUUUUUUUAUAAACAUUAGAAUGAUUAGGUUUUUACCUGAUAAGAUAAGGACCUCUUUAUCGAGCAAGACUUUUUUUUAACCCAUAGACGGACCAAUAAUUAGAAAACACAACAAGACUUUAGUUUUUUUUAUUUUUUCAGAUGAUUAAACAAUGCAGCUUACCUUAGGUAGGAUGUAUUUGGGGUGCUAAUACCUUCCCUUUACGCAACCAGUCUCCAUACCCGAUCCCUGAGACCAGUUAGGGUUUCUAAUGAUCAAAAUACUAGGUGGCGACUCUCAUUCCCCUUUUCCACUGAUAAAAGACAAGAAUUCCUUGUCUGCUUCGUUUUUCGAUUUCCAGAUACUUAAAAGAGUGGACGAUUGUCGUGAUGCCGCACACGUGCGACAAACCACAUGGAACACCAAGGGUUAACAAUAAUUGCUUGUACAAUCACCUAAGUUGAGUCGUCAUGAACCAAAGUUAAGCCAUCUCAGAACUAAGUUGGGUUGUCUGAGCCUUAACUUAUUCUCGUACAAUUGCCUAGAUGACCAGAGAUUGGGAGCGCAAACCCGAUUACAUGGAACAAAAGGUCGAUACAUUACGACCCGUCUGUAUAUCCUCAAUCAUAGUGUUUGAGAUACCAUAAACUCGAUUUCUAUCGAGUCCACCAGACGAUCCAACCUCCAACCACAAUUCCAAAUCGAGUUUUGGAUAGGUCGAAUGAUUAUCCUUGUAUCUCUCUUGCAAACGGGUAUUAUAUAUUUCCUGAAAAAAGAAAAAAAAUCAACAAAUUAAAAAAAUAAUAACUUAACAAAAAAAUUGUUAAAAUCUGAUUUACCCUGAACUUUUGAGCUUGGCUAUCCAUAAGCUAUUAUGCUCAUUUCCAACAGUCAUCAUUUUGCUUGUGAGUUUUAACAAAAAGCUUUAUCGGUCUUGGAUCAUGUCCAAGAACUGUAACCUGCAAAAGAGAGUUAUUGUUUGUUAAACAUUAAAUAUUUUCAUAUAAAAAACAAUCUAAAAAAAAUAUACAUAAUAAAACAAAAUCUUACCAUCCUCUUUACAAGCGAAAUGAACAAAAUGAAUUUAGUAAAAGUUUAGACAUAUGUCAAUUAACUAGUAUCCUAAGCAAAGGGGUUUCAUCAUGGAUUUAGCAGCAUAUAAGUUCGCUUUCAGCCUAUUCUCUUUAGAUAAAAUGUUUCUUGUUCAUUUGAUAAUUUUGUCAUAGCCGUCCUAGCUCAACCCAUGAUCUGACUUAAUAGUGAACACAUGUGCAACGAUCGAUAAUUUACUAUUAUUUAUGGAACCAUACCAUAAUGGUUCGUCAAAAUCUUUCAAUUAGUUCUUCAUCUACAAUUGAACAUUCACAUGCAUUACCCUGCUUCAUUCUCAUUGCAUCCAUAAUCAUACUUCUAUAACGAUUAUUAUUAUCAUUUACAAUUCCAUUCACAUUGCUAGAACUAAAAGUCGACUUAACCAUCAUUGAUACCAUGAUCUUGUAUGGAACAUAUGAUUCUACAUGUGCAAACCAACACAAGUACUUCUCUAAGCACUUUUUUUUUCUAGAAGAUGUAUCGUAAUAACAUCUAGAUCAAGAAACUUUUAUUUUGACACCUUUUACAUGGAAAUUUAAUACCGCAUCCACUAAUAUUUUUGAAUUAGAUAGUGUGUAUUUAAUAAAACGCUUAAUGCCAUUACAAUAAUUUAUUUUUAUGUAGUAAAAAAACUGAAUGAAAUGGAAAAAAUGAAAUGAAUGAAGAAUAAAUUGAAAUUUGGGUCAAGACAACACAAAUUGAAAGCUUUGAGGAUUAAUGAGGGUGAAAUUAUAAAUCUAGGAGUCAAUUUUGGUAGAAAUUAAAAGAAUUAAUAAGUUUGAGGACUUAAUUGAACUUGAAAUUAGUUUAAUUAAUGAAAUGAGGGGCUUAAUUGAAGAAAUACCAAAGUUUUGGGGUUGAUUUGGGUCAAAAUUGCAAGAAUUAAAGUCCAAGGACCAAAGUGAAAAUUCAGGGGUACAAUAGGUAGUUUAAUUGAUUUUUUCAAGUAUAAUUUUGAAAGAAUUAAAAGUUAAAGAGUCAAUUAAGAACUAAAUUAGAAACCAAGGACUCUUUUGUAAAUACUGCUGGCAUGCAGGGGUCCAAUUCCAAUUAAUCCAGGGGCAAAAUUUUUUUAAAAAAAGAAGAAGAAGAAAUUUCCUUGAAUAAGGGCUUGAUUGCAAGAUAUCAGAACUUUAGUGUCCAAAUUGAAGAAUGACCAACUCAGUCGAAAAUAAUAUCGUUUCUACAUGUACUGUUUCUUCUUCUUGUUCCUUUGGAACUGAAAAUCUGCCUGUGAAAAAAAGGAAAGAAGAGCGAAAUGAUGGUGUCCCCAUCCUACCCAACACCACAACCAAGGUCACCCUAUACGGUUGGGCUAGAUCCAGCCCAAAAAUGACAGAUAUUUGUUUUUUCUAUCAUAGAAAAUUAAAGGCCACCGUGAUGUAUCAGUGUGACAAUUUAUUUUAUUAUAAAACACUUAAGUUACAAAAUCAAACUCAUUUCCAUCAAAUGACAGGCAAAUAUAAUUUUUUAAAAUUUCAAACAAACCAUAGCAUACACAAAUCAUAUAAUAAAUUUAUAUGGAAAAAUGCUAUAAAACAAGUAAACACACAAACAAAUUACAUAUACUACAUCAAAAUGCAACAACAAAAAAAUCAAUAUUUUGAAAAUGGGUUACAAUAAAAAAAAAGGGUAGUUUUGUUACUUGAUGUGGUGAAUAUUCAAAAAAUAUGGAACCAGAAUAGGAUUGCUAACAGAUUUAGUGUUGGGGUGACUAGAUUCGUAAUGAUGAUAGCUUCAUUUGUGACAAAAUAUGUGGGUAUUGUGUGUUGUUUUAUGCAAAAUGAAAAGGAAGAAGAAGAAAUGAGGGAGGAGGAGAGGGGGGUGGUCUCUCAAGAUAUAACAUAAAUAUUAUCGACAGACGACGAGUAUUAGUAAGGAGUAUAUUUUCUCGGUAAUUCUAUCUGUAAUAAUGACACUUUAUUUUUUUCAUUCCUUUAUUUCCAACUGUAUUUUCCUUAAUAUUCACCGAUGAAAAAUUUAUAUCAAUGUAUACUGAGAGAAAUAGCGAGGAAAUAUUUCAUCAAUAAAAGUCAUUGUGAUUUACUAACGAUUUUUUUUUUGUUAAUAUUUCUAUUUGUAUUUGAUAAUUUUCUAGUUGUGAUAUAUAUUGGACAAUGUAACGUGAAUCUCUCUCUCUCCCUCAAUUUAAUUUUAAUUUGAACUUUGUAAGUUUGAUGAAAACAGUGGCAAAACCGCCAAACCUCAAGAAUGGUGUUUCCUUGUUGAUCAAUUUUAUUUUAAACAUUUUUCAACAUUCUUCCUCAACAAAUUGGACUAUUUAAUGCAAAGCUUUUAUUUAUAAUAAAAAAAAAACCGCAAGACAGCAUGACAUUUCUUUAUUUAGCUAAAGUAUUAAAACAAAAAGUCCCUGCUCCUAUAUAUCAUGACUUGUGAGAAUAGUGAUCCAAUUAAGCUUUGCUGGAGAUGAAUUCCACUUCAUUUCUUAAUCCCAUUUGUUGUGGAAGAGGUGGGAUGCUUUGUUCGUGCCUGAAGAAAUUAUCAGGAUCAACUUUGGUCUUCACAUGCACCAACCUGUAGAAGUUAUCCUUGAAGUAGUUGGUACCAAAAGCACUCGCUUCGACAAAACUUGUUUUAGAAUUUCUGUUCAUGCCCAAAUCAAGAUCCCUGUAAUUAGCAUAUGCUUCCCUAGGAUUCUUUGAGACAUAAGGUGUCAUGUAACUGUAAACCUUCCUAGUCCAAUUUAUAUGCUUUGCAACGUUUUCCGUUGCAUCUUGCCAACUGGACCAGUAAAGGAUCAUGAACUUGGUACCGUUUCUAUGAGGGAAAGGAGUCUGAGAUUCUGAAAUUUGGUUCAUCAUCCCACCAUAAGGAGUAAACACUACUAGAGGACUCUCUGCUUCAAAUAACUUCUCCCACAACCCUUCAAGUGCCUUUUCAGGUAUGGGUUUUCUGGCAUAGUCAGAUUUGCCUUUGAAGUAGGCCCUGUCCAUGUUAAUUCUUUGAAGGAGAACUUCAGGAGGAGUAUUAUUUGCAAAGCCUGACAUAUAUACAGUAGAAUUGAUCCAGUUUGUUUCGAUACAAUCCUGUCGUGUCAAACCCAAUUCAGGGAAGCUGUGUUUCAUUACCUGGAGAAGUCUGUUGGCGUCACCAAGAAACAUGGCAUUGUAAGAGGUGGUGAUAGUUCUUUUACCUUGACUACNNNNNNNNNNNNNNNNNNNNNNNNNNNNNNNNNNNNNNNNNNNNNNNNNNNNNNNNNNNNNNNNNNNNNNNNNNNNNNNNNNNNNNNNNNNNNNNNNNNNUUCAGUUGCACCUUGUUCUAACGUCUUGGUAACGGUGAAUACUGUCACAGCGGAUGGUACAGGAACUAAUUUUACCUUCCAGGCGGUGACGAUUCCGAAGCUGCCACCUGCGCCUCCUCUGAUGGCCCAAAAAAGAUCUUCGCCCAUGGCUUUUCGGUCUAGAAGUCUUCCAUGAACAUCAAUUAUAUGUGCAUCAACGACAUUGUCGACUGCAAGGCCAUAUUUUCGCAACAUGGCACCAUAUGCACCUCCUGAAAUGUGCCCACCCAUGCCUAAACUUGUGCAAGUACCAGCUGGGAAGCCAUGAAUUUUGCUUUUCUCAGAAAUUCUGUAGUAAAGUUCGCCAUUCGUGGCACCCGCCUGAACCCACGCGCUGUUGUGCUCAAUAUCAACGCUGAUGGACCGGAACUUGGCAAGGUCCACAAGGAUGAAAGGUGACUCAAUUUCUGAAACAUAAGAGAGUGCCUCAAAAUCAUGGCCUCCGCUACGGACUCUAAGGUGAAUUCCAAGCUGCUUAGAGCAAAUAACAACUGCUUGGAUGUGAGAUUCUUGUAAAGGAGUGAAGAUAAACUCAGGUUUCGGUACUGAAGGGAAGGUGAACCUGAGGUUUUGAGCAGAAGAUUGUAAAACACUAGUGAAGGAAGAGUUUUUUGGAGUAUACAAGACAGUGGAAAAAGGAAAGGAUGAUUCUGAAGUUCUUGAGAGACAUUU